rnacentral:rRNA from 1 species
UACGUAGGGUGCAAGCGUUAAUCGGAAUUACUGGGCGUAAAGCGUGCGCAGGCGGUUGCGUAAGGCAGAUGUGAAAUCCCCGGGCUUAACCUGGGAACUGCAUUUGUGACUGCAUUGCUGGAGUGCGGCAGAGGGGGAUGGAAUUCCGCGUGUAGCAGUGAAAUGCGUAGAUAUGCGGAGGAACACCGAUGGCGAAGGCAAUCCCCUGGGCCUGCACUGACGCUCAUGCACGAAAGCGUGGGGAGCAAACAGG